UACGGAGGAUGCAAGCGUUAUCCGGAAUGAUUGGGCGUAAAGCGUCCGCAGGUGGCAAUGUAAGUCUGCUGUCAAAGCGUCUGGCUCAACCAGAUAAAGGCAGUGGAAACUACAUAGCUAGAGUAAGGUAGGGGUAGAGGGAAUUCCUGGUGUAGCGGUGAAAUGCGUAGAUAUUGGGAAGAACACCGGUGGCGAAAGCGCCUUGCUGGACCUGCACUGACACUGAGGGACGAAAGCUAGGGGAGCGAAAGGG
rnacentral:rRNA from 1 species